AUGGUCGUAUUCAAACUAAACCAGGAAACAGGAAACAGGACAUGGUCGUAUUCAAACUAAACCAGGAAACAGGAAACAGGACAUGGUCGUAUUCAAACUAAACCAGGAAACAGGAAACAGGACAUGGUCGUAUUCAUUAGGCACCAAACAGUGAAGGACUACCUGAACUUAUCCAGAAUGAAACACACGUGAUUUCAUUACAAAGCAUUUUCUGUUGCAAUAACACUUUGCUACGGUUUCCUAGUGUGCACAAAUUAAUAUACCGCGGGACAGGGUUGUAUUCAUUAGGAAUCAAACAGAAUGAAUACACCACAGAACAGGUGAUUCAUUAGGAAUCAAACAGAAUGAAUACACCACAGAACAGGUGAUUCAUUAGGAAUCAAACAGAAUGAAUACACCACAGAACAGGUGAUUCAUUAGGAAUCAAACAGAAUGAAUACACUACAGAACAGGUGAUUCAUUAGGAAUCAAACAGAAUGAAUACACCACAGAACAGGUGAUUCAUUAGGAAUCAAACAGAAUGAAUACACUACAGAACAGGUGAUUCAUUAGGAAUCAAACAGAAUGAAUACACCACAGAACAGGUGAUUCAUUAGGAAUCAAACAGAAUGAAUACACCACAGAACAGGUGAUUCAUUAGGAAUCAAACAGAAUGAAUACACCACAGAACAGGUGAUUCAUUAGGAAUCAAACAGAAUGAAUACACUACAGAACAGGUGAUUCAUUAGGAAUCAAACAGAAUGAAUACACCACAGAACAGGUGAUUCAUUAGGAAUCAAACAGAAUGAAUACACUACAGAACAGGUGAUUCAUUAGGAAUCAAACAGAAUGAAUACACCACAGAACAGGUGAUUCAUUAGGAAUCAAACAGAAUGAAUACACUACAGAACAGGUGAUUCAUUAGGAAUCAAACAGAAUGAAUACACCACAGAACAGGUGAUUCAUUAGGAAUCAAACAGAAUGAAUACACCACAGAACAGGGUUGUAUUCAUUAGGAAUCAAACAGAAUGAAUACACCACAGAACAGGGUUGUAUUCAUUAGGAAUCAAACAGAAUGAAUACACCACAGAACAGGUGAUUCAUUAGGAAUCAAACAGAAUGAAUACACCACAGAACAGGUGAUUCAUUAGGAAUCAAACAGAAUGAAUACACCACAGAACAGGGUUGUAUUCAUUAGGAAUCAAACAGAAUGAAUACACCACAGAACAGGGUUGUAUUCAUUAGGAAUCAAACAGAAUGAAUACACCACAGAACAGGUGAUUCAUUAGGAAUCAAACAGAAUGAAUACACCACAGAACAGGUGAUUCAUUAGGAAUCAAACAGAAUGAAUACACUACAGAACAGGGUUGUAUUCAUUAGGAAUCAAACAGAAUGAAUACACCACAGAACAGGUGAUUCAUUAGGAAUCAAACAGAAUGAAUACACCACAGAACAGGUGAUUCAUUAGGAAUCAAACAGAAUGAAUACACCACAGAACAGGUGAUUCAUUAGGAAUCAAACAGAAUGAAUACACCACAGAACAGGUGAUUCAUUAGGAAUCAAACAGAAUGAAUACACUACAGAACAGGUGAUUCAUUAGGAAUCAAACAGAAUGAAUACACCACAGAACAGGUGAUUCAUUAGGAA